UGCCAGCAGCCGCGGUAAUACGGAGGGUGCAAGCGUUGUUCGGAAUUACUGGGCGUAAAGGGCGCGUAGGCGGACGAUCAAGUCAGGGGUGAAAGGCCUGGGCUCAACCUAGGAAUUGCCUUUGAAACUGAUUGUCUAGAGACCGGAAGAGGAUGGUGGAAUUCCCAGUGUAGAGGUGAAAUUCGUAGAUAUUGGGAAGAACACCGGUGGCGAAGGCGGCCAUCUGGUCCGGAUCUGACGCUGAGGCGCGAAAGCGUGGGGAGCAAACAGGAUUAGAUA
rnacentral:rRNA from 1 species